rnacentral:lncRNA from 1 species
CCCCUGUCCUGCCGUGGUUCAGGUGUCCCCAUGGGCUCGUGUGUCACCCGUGGGACCGAGUGUCACCUGUGGGACCAGGUGCCACCUAUGGACUUCUGUGUCACCUUUAGGAGCGAGUGUCACCCGUGGCCUCACGCGUCACCAGUGGGACACGUCCCCUGUGUCCUCAUGUGUCACCCACAGCUUCGCGUGUCACCUCCUGGUCCUCUGUGGGGCCGCUGCCACCCCCAUGUCCCCUCCGUGCUGACGUCACCCCGUGGCUUCCUGUGUCACCUGUGCCACCCACGGUGUCACACCCACUGUCCCCUGUGGUCACAGCGGGCUCCAGUGCCACCCCUGGGCUGGGGGGUUCCCAGUGUCCCCAAUGUCCCCAAUGGUGUCCCCAAUGGUGUCCCCAAUGGUGUCCCCAAUGUCCCCAAUGGUGUCCCCCUGUCACCCUGUGGUGGCGCUGCCGGAGCCACAAAGCCACAACUGGGACACAGCCCUGGGGCAGGAAACGCGCGGGGCCCAGUACGGGACUGGGGAGAUCCCAGUAUGGACCAGUAUGGGACUGGGGAGAUCCCAGUAUGGACCAGUAUGGAACUGGGGAGAUCCCAGUAUGGAACUGGGGAGAUCCCAGUAUGGGACUGGGGAGAUCCCAGUAUGGACCAGUACAGGACUGGGGAGAUCCCAGUAUGGGAUUGGGGAGAUCCCAGUAUGGCCCAGUAUGGAACUGGGGAGAUCCCAAUAUGGCCCAGUAUGGGACUAGAGAGCUCCCAGUAUGGAACUGGGGAGAUCCCAGUAUGGGACCGAGGAGCUCCCAGUAUGGCCCAGUAUGGAACUGGAGAGCUCCCAGUACAGCACUGGUGAGAUCCCAGUAUGGCCCCGGCCUGGCACUGACACUUGUGCAAGACCCUUGCACAGCUGCACACGCAUGUGACACACCCGGACAUGCGUGUCACACAUGUCACACGUGUGACCCCCCCCAGACACGCGUGACAACCCCGGACACGUGUGUCAACCCCGCCACCAGCGUGUCACCCCCAGACGUGUGACACCCCACUCACAUGUCACCCCCGGGGCAUGUGUGACACCCCACGGACACGUGUGACACCCUACACACGUGUGACACC